rnacentral:rRNA from 1 species
GACGAACGCUGGCGGCGUGCUUAACACAUGCAAGUCGAACGGAAAGGCCCUGCUUUUGUGGGGUGCUCGAGUGGCGAACGGGUGAGUAACACGUGAGUAACCUGCCCUUGACUUUGGGAUAACUUCAGGAAACUGGGGCUAAUACCGGAUAGGAGCUCCUGCUGCAUGGUGGGGGUUGGAAAGUUUCGGCGGUUGGGGAUGGACUCGCGGCUUAUUAGCUUGUUGGUGGGGUAGUGGCUUACCAAGGCUUUGACGGGUAGCCGGCCUGAGAGGGUGACCGGCCACAUUGGGACUGGGAUACGGCCCAGACGCAUACGGGAGGCAGCAGUGGGGAAUAUUGCACAAUGGGCGGAAGCCUGAUGCAGCAACGCCGCGUGCGGGAUGACGGCCUUCGGGUUGUAAACCGCUUUCGCCUGUGACGAAGCGUGAGUGACGGGAAUGGGGAAAGAAGCACCGGCUAACUACGU